AUUUAUAUAGUUUAAUAAUAUAAAACCUUACAUUUUCACUGUAAAAAUAAAAAAAUUUUUUUAUAAAUU
rnacentral:tRNA from 1 species